AAACUAGGAUUAGAUACCCUAUUAUAAAAUAAACAAAUUGAGGUUAGUAAAAGUAAAACCUAAAAAUCUAAUUAAUUUGGCGGCAUUUUACCUAAUUAGAGGAGCCUGUGAAACAAAUCGAUAAACCACGAAAUAUCUUACUUUCCCAAAAAUUUAUAUACCGUUGUUGGUAGGAAUUCUAAGAAAGAAAAUUCCAAAAAAAAAUAAAAUUAUCUCUUCAAAUCAAGGGGUAAUAAAUGUGCAAGGAUUACAUGUGCUACAAUUUAAAUAAAAGUACAGUAAAUGAAACUCUUAAAUAAUGGAUUUAACAGUAAAAUCUUUACAAAAAAGAGAUUUGAAAAAGCAAUAAAUUGUGUACACAUCGCCCGAUCGCUCUUA
rnacentral:rRNA from 1 species